rnacentral:tRNA from 1 species
GCGGGUGUAGCUCAAUGGCAGAGCUCCGGCUUCCCAAGCCGGCCACGUGGGUUCGAUUCCCAUCACCCGCUCCA